AGAGUUUGAUCCUGGCUCAGAUUGAACGCUGGCGGAAUGCUUUACACAUGCAAGUCGAGCGGCAGCGCGGGGCAACCUGGCGGCGAGCGGCGAACGGGUGAGUAAUGCAUCGGAACAUGUCCAAGUCGUGGGGGAUAGCCCGGCGAAAGCCGGAUUAAUACCGCAUACGCCCGAGAGGGGAAAGUGGGGGACCGCAAGGCCUCACGCGAUUGGGUUGGCCGAUGUCCGAUUAGCUAGUUGGUGGGGUAAAGGCUUACCAAGGCGAUGAUCGGUAGCUGGUCUGAGAGGAUGAUCAGCCACACUGGGACUGAGACACGGCCCAGACUCCUACGGGAGGCAGCAGUGGGGAAUUUUGGACAAUGGGGGCAACCCUGAUCCAGCCAUUCCGCGUGAGUGAAGAAGGCCUUCGGGUU
rnacentral:rRNA from 1 species